rfam:Astyanax mexicanus chromosome 17, whole genome shotgun sequence.
CUGUUACCUGGUUCAAGUAAUCCAGGAUAGGCUGUGUCUGUCCUGGUUGGCCUAUUCAUGAUUACUUGCUCUGGGUGGCAG